rfam:Pygoscelis adeliae contig88466, whole genome shotgun sequence.
AAAAAGGGCUUCUGCUGUGCGUGGCACGGGGGGACCCCAUGGCUGCCCCCGCGGAAUCGGCAUCAAGAGAUUUUGGAAACACAAUUUUUGUGGUGGGUGGUUGAGUCACCAUC